rnacentral:rRNA from 1 species
UCCCCGCUGACGAGCGGCGGACGGGUGAGUAAUGCAUAGGAAACUGCCCAGUAGUGGGGGAUAGCCCGGGGAAACCCGGAUUAAUACCGCAUACGCCCUUCGGGGGAAAGCAGGGGAUCUUCGGACCUUGCGCUAUUGGAUGUGCCUAUGUCGGAUUAGCUAGUUGGUGGGGUAAGAGCCUACCAAGGCGACGAUCCGUAGCUGGUCUGAGAGGAUGAUCAGCCACAUCGGGACUGAGACACGGCCCGAACUCCUACGGGAGGCAGCAGUGGGGAAUAUUGGACAAUGGGGGCAACCCUGAUCCAGCCAUGCCGCGUGUGUGAAGAAGGCUUUCGGGUUGUAAAGCACUUUCAGUGAGGAGGAAAACCUUAAGUUUAAUACGCUUGAGGCUUGACGUUACUCACAGAAGAAGCACCGGCUAACUCCGUGCCAGCAGCCGCGGUAAUACGGAGGGUGCAAGCGUUAAUCGGAAUUACUGGGCGUAAAGCGCGCGUAGGUGGUUUGAUAAGCGAGAUGUGAAAGCCCCGGGCUCAACCUGGGAACGGCAUUUCGAACUGUCAGGCUAGAGUAUGGUAGAGGAGUGUGGAAUUUCCUGUGUAGCGGUGAAAUGCGUAGAUAUAGGAAGGAACACCAGUGGCGAAGGCGGCACUCUGGACCAAUACUGACACU